rnacentral:lncRNA from 1 species
CAAGAACUAAAACAACAAUACCACUAAUGUUAUCAAUAAAACUAAAAUUCAGCCCCUACGCUCAAAUUCCUUUAAUCUCAAUGUCAAUUCCACCUUUCGAUCUUCAAAUCUGGUGAAGCAAGGUUCCAAAACCUGUGUACUAAGAUGGAGAAUUACCCUCAGGUCCAAAAUCCAGCUUCCUCCAAAGAUUGCAUUAUGAAAAUCCACAAAACUCAAAUUUCAGUUUCAAUACUGCAGCAGUCCAGAAAAACAGCAAUUAACCAAACUAACCUGAAUCAAAUUAUGCCAAAAU